rnacentral:rRNA from 1 species
CCUACGGGAGGCAGCAGUGAGGAAUAUUGGUCAAUGGGCGUAAGCCUGAACCAGCCAAGUCGCGUGAGGGAUGAAGGUUCUAUGGAUCGUAAACCUCUUUUAUCAGGGAAUAAAGUGCGGGACGUGUCCCGUUCUGUAUGUACCUUAUGAAUAAGGAUCGGCUAACUCCGUGCCAGCAGCCGCGGUAAUACGGAGGAUCCGAGCGUUAUCCGGAUUUAUUGGGUUUAAAGGGUGCGGAGGCGGGCUUUUAAGUCAGCGGUGAAAGUGGGGGGCUCAACCAUAGAAUUGCCGUUGAAACUGGGAGGCUUGAGUGUGUUUGAGGUAGGCGGAAUGCGUGGUGUAGCGGUGAAAUGCUUAGAUAUCACGCAGAACCCCGAUUGCGAAGGCAGCCUGCCGGGCCAUGACUGACGCUGAUGCACGAAAGCGUGGGGAUCGAACAGGAUUAGAUACCCGUGUAGUC